rnacentral:rRNA from 1 species
ACCGCAAGGCCUCGCGCGAUUGGAUGAGCCGACGUCGGAUUAGCUAGUUGGAGGGGUAAAGGCCCACCAAGGCGACGAUCCGUAGCCGGUCUGAGAGGAUGAUCAGCCACACUGGAACUGAGACACGGUCCAGACUCCUACGGGAGGCAGCAGUGGGGAAUAUUGGACAAUGGGCGCAAGCCUGAUCCAGCAAUGCCGCGUGUGUGAAGAAGGCCUUCGGGUUGUAAAGCACUUUUAUCAGGAACGAAAAGCGUUGGAUUAAUACUCUGACGUGCUGACGGUACCUGAGGAAUAAGCACCGGCUAACUUCGUG